UACAGAGGGCUCAAGCGUUGUUCGGAUUCAUUGGGCGUAAAGGGUGUGUAGGUGGCGCGCUAAGUCGGGUGUGAAAUUUCGGAGCUUAACUCCGAAACUGCAUUCGAUACUGGCGUGCUUGAGGACUGGAGAGGAGACUGGAAUUCAUGGUGUAGCAGUGAAAUGCGUAGAGAUCAUGAGGAAGACCAGUGGCGAAGGCGGGUCUCUGGGCCGAUACUGACGCUGAGGAGCGAAAGCGUGGGGAGCGAACAGG
rnacentral:rRNA from 1 species